UACGUAGGGUGCGAGCGUUGUCCGGAAUUAUUGGGCGUAAAGAGCUCGUAGGCGGCUCGUCGCGUCGACCGUGAAAACCGGCAGCUUAACUGUCGGCUUGCGGUUGAUACGGGCGGGCUAGAGUUCGGUAGGGGAGACUGGAAUUCCUGGUGUAGCGGUGAAAUGCGCAGAUAUCAGGAGGAACACCGGUGGCGAAGGCGGGUCUCUGGGCCGAUACUGACGCUGAGGAGCGAAAGCGUGGGGAGCGAACAGG
rnacentral:rRNA from 1 species